AAGCCGAACAAAACACCUACGUAGAAACCAUGGCAACAUUGUUUCCGGCGGAGUCGACUGCUCCCCUGCGCCCCCUCUCGUCAGAUUCCCCCAGCCUCUGCCCCGGACUGUACACCUGACCGAGCACAAUGCUGGUGGUCUUAAAGUCCCUGCAAAGCUGGUUCCUCGUCUGCCCCGCCCUGCAGGUCUGAGGACACAGAUGCUUUGAGAUCUGUCCUCCGAGAAAAAAACCAGCUUCAAACCCCUCAUCCACUUAAAAACUCAAGGAAAGAAAUGAACAAGCCAUGCGUUUCCUAUAAAAAUCAUCUGCCCAGGCAUUUCACUACAUAAAGUGAAAUUACGAAAUAAAGAACUGGGAAACACCUGCA